UACGAAGGGGGCUAGCGUUGUUCGGAAUGACUGGGCGUAAAGGGUGCGUAGGCGGCGCAGCAAGUCAGGCGUGAAAUCCCCGGGCUCAACCUGGGAACUGCGCUUGAGACUGUUGUGCUUGAGACCGGGAGAGGAUGGCGGAAUACCCAGUGUAGAGGUGAAAUUCGUAGAUAUUGGGUAGAACACCGGUGGCGAAGGCGGCCAUCUGGACCGGAUCUGACGCUGAGGCACGAAAGCGUGGGGAGCAAACAGG
rnacentral:rRNA from 1 species